rnacentral:lncRNA from 1 species
UGCAGAGAGUCUUCUAGGUCGCCACGCCUCCACUACCUCCGUAAAACCCCCAACACCCUCCCAUAUCUCAACGAAACCACCCCAAACCCUAUCCUUCGUCUUCGUCCUGUAUUUUAUAAAAGAAAGCUUCUUAAUUUUUGGUUUGCUUUGAGUAUUCCCAAUUGGUUUGUUCAAUUUUGCUGUUUAGGUUAAAAUUAUAUGGUUCAGAUUAGAAAUUAGGUUUUGGUUUGAUGGGUUUUCUAUUGAUUGGUUGUAUGUUGCCUUUGGUUUAAAUUGCAGGUUGCAAACUUGUGUUUGUUUGCUGCCAAUCCUAAAGGAUCAAUUGGCUAAGAUUGUUGAGGAGGAGUUGAUACCAAUCAAUUGCGGAAACAAUGGCGAGGAGAAAUUUCUAAACAAUUAUGCGGACCAUAGGCCCACUCCUCUCCAAGUCCCUCUUCAAUUAGAGUAUAAAUUGGUCUCACUUCGACUUUAGUGGUCUAACUUCCGGGAGCACAGCUUGUGUUGCAAUUAUUAGAAACAACCAACUUGUUGUUGCCAAUGCUGGUGAUUAUCGUUGUGUCAUAUUGAGGAAGGGUCAGAUAAGAGAUCAAAGAUGUGCUAAAUUCACACUCCAUUUUGUCCAGCUUAGGGAAAGGGUGAUGCUGCAACUUAAGCUUGGGAAAAUCACUGCUACUUGAAAGAAUAUUGAAAGAGUUCGUAUGUUCAUUGGUCUUUUUUGUUGAAGGUUGCAGCUACACUGACUUUUGAAGAAGAAUAUUUAGUUUUUAUUUUUAUUUUUAAUCUUUAGUUCUAGAGUGUAAUACUUGGACUCACUGUAUGUAUCUUUUAAAUACAAAUUUUAGUUUUGUUGGAAAAUGA